GGGGGUGUAGCUCAGCUGGCUAGAGCGCCUGCCUUGCAAGCAGGAGGUCAUCGGUUCGACUCCGUUCACCUCCACCA
rnacentral:tRNA from 2 species